UUAGUGGCGACGGGUGAGUAACGCGUGAGAAACCUGCCUUUCAGUGGGGGACAACAGUUGGAAACGACUGCUAAUACCGCAUAAUGUAUCGAGGGGGCAUCCCUUUGAUACCAAAGCUUUAUGUGCUGAAGGAUGGUCUCGCGUCUGAUUAGCUAGAUGGCGGGGUAACGGCCCACCAUGGCGACGAUCAGUAGCCGGUCUGAGAGGAUGAACGGCCACAUUGGGACUGAGAUACGGCCCAGACUCCUACGGGAGGCAGCAGUGGGGAAUAUUGGGCAAUGGGGGAAACCCUGACCCAGCAACGCCGCGUGAAGGAAGAAGGCCUUCGGGUUGUAAACUUCUUUUAGCAGAGACGAAGGACGUGACGGUACCUGCAGAAAAAGCAACGGCUAACUACGUGCCAGCAGCCGCGGUAAUACGUAGGUUGCAAGCGUUGUCCGGAUUUACUGGGUGUAAAGGGCGUGUAGGCGGAGAUGCAAGUCAGGAGUGAAAUCCCGGGGCUCAACCCCGGAACUGCUUUUGAAACUGUAUCCCUUGAGUGUCGGAGAGGCAAGCGGAAUUCCUAGUGUAGCGGUGAAAUGCGUAGAUAUUAGGAGGAACACCAGUGGCGAAGGCGGCUUGCUGGACGAUAACUGACGCUGAGGCGCGAAAGCGUGGGGAGCAAACAGGAUUAGAUACCCUGAUAGUCCACGCUGUAAAC
rnacentral:rRNA from 1 species